ACAGUACUCACAUACUUAUUCUGCUCCUACAUCCCAUGUGUCGAAAUAUCUAUAGGCAGAGCUUGUCUUUGUUUGUAAAAACCUUUUUGUAAUCGACAAAUCGGUGGAUGCUUCCUAUAUGGUGCAUGGCAAAGCAGAGUGAGAACAGAUGACAAGGUUGAUCUACCCGUGUAGAGUCCAUUCUAUUGCAUCCCCUUAUCAAAGAGUUGGGUGAGGAAAUCCAGAACAGCACCCUGAGGUGGAUAUAUUGGAUCAAUAUGCCUUGAACAACAAUAUUUUCCCAUUUUGCAAGGCUUUAUUGGAGGAGCCCCAAAAGAGACGUGCACCUCAAUGAGGCCAAAUCCAAUGCGUCAUCAGGCUGAACCACAGACAACAAUUGCGCCGAUUACUAUUAAAGUUAGCGAUACUUACUACAACAAAAGUAGCAAGAUUGGUGUUUACGUAAAAGGAGUAAACAAAACAAUGUUUAGAGGCAUUUUGAUUCAAGCACGGGCUAUGGGUAGCACGGCAGCUCGAGGAUAUUUUUCCAUAAUUCCGACAAACACCAAAUACCUGGACUGCACAUCUGAUCGUUACAAUGCCGACAACAUGAGGUCUACCGUAACACAUAGCACCGCUCUAAACGUGGAUGUGGUUCAUCUGACAUAGCAGCCAACUGAGAUGUUAACCUCUAAUAUAUACUUCGUGGCAACUGUCGUACAAACAAGGCAAGUCUAUUGGGUUGGACUGAAAUCACCCAUGCUGAUGAUGAAAACGCCCAUGGAUGAAAAUACUGGAGGAAAAAAGGGAUCGUCGACUAAAUUAGUUGCCAACGCUUCGCUGUUGUUAAUGGCGGCUGUUGCCAGACUUCUAAUCAAAUGAAAACGAAUCAACUCACCAGAAAUCAAGGAGCGUACGUAAAGAAGCCUUGCAAGUUUAAAGAUAUUAUUCAUGUGUUAGCUAUUUAGGCAUAGUGCUAAAGAGGCCAAAUAAUUCAUACGGACUAAGUUAUGAAUCCAAAACAUAUAUCAACAAAGUUCUUUGUACAACGAGUAUAGUUAAGUGGAGUCAUGUUAUA